rnacentral:rRNA from 1 species
AGUGAACGCUGGCGGUAGGCCUAACACAUGCAAGUCGAACGGCAGCACAGUAAGAGCUUGCUCUUACGGGUGGCGAGUGGCGGACGGGUGAGGAAUACAUCGGAAUCUACUUUUUCGUGGGGGAUAACGUAGGGAAACUUACGCUAAUACCGCAUACGACCUACGGGUGAAAGCAGGGGAUCUUCGGACCUUGCGCGAUUGAAUGAGCCGAUGGCGGAUUAGCUAGUUGGCGGGGUAAAGGCCCACCAAGGCGACGAUCCGUAGCUGGUCUGAGAGGAUGAUCAGCCACACUGGAACUGAGACACGGUCCAGACUCCUACGGGAGGCAGCAGUGGGGAAUAUUGGACAAUGGGCGCAAGCCUGAUCCAGCCAUACCGCGUGUGUGAAGAAGGCCUUCGGGUUGUAAAGCCCUUUUGUUGGGAAAGAAAAGCAGCAGGUUAAUACCCCGCUGUUCUGACGGUACCCAAAGAAUAAGCACCGGCUAACUUCGUG